AUGGGUUCUGCCAGUUUCUUCUUCGUCGUGCUCGCAGCUGCAGCAUCAUCUCUGGCCGUGCAGGGCCGCGACUAUGACUACAACCCGGAUGCAAGACUGGGGAUCAAUAACAACGCCUCCCUCGCAACACGGUGGAUCAACAACAACGUCUCCCUAUCAGACAACAAGUACGCCGACGGCACAACCGUGCGCCCCAUCGUCCUCCGUUCGACGAGGGUUGGCGGGCGCUUUCAGGGGUGGUCUUUUGGUGCAGGGUUCUUCUGCGCCUCCCCUUGCGACUUCUUCGUCUUCUCCGUCUUCAUUGCAACCAACGGCGGGGCCUAUGAGAAUGGAGAAUCACCACCACUUACCUCGUCGGGACCACAGGUUGUCUGGUCAGCCAGCAGGGCUAGCCCUGUCAGGGAGAACGCCACCAUUGAGCUUACUAGGCAUGGCGACCUGGUCCUCCGUGAUGCUGAUGGGAGGACGGUCUGGUCAAGUGGCACUUCAGGAAAAUCCGUGGCUGGCAUGGAGAUCACGAAGCACGGCAACCUGGUGAUGUUUGAUCAGAAGAAUGCCAUCGUGUGGCAGUCAUUUGACCAUCCGACUGAUUCAUUGGUACCCGGGCAAUCACUUACGGAAGGUAUGAGGCUCACAGCUAAUACAUCUGCAACAAAUUCGACUGAGAAUCAGUUUUAUGUGACUGUACUCCGAGAUGGAUUAUACGGUUAUGUCGAAUCCACACCACCACAACUCUACUUCUCAUAUCCACCGGUGAAAAGUAAUAAGACUGUAACUGAUCCAACAAAAGUUACAUUCCAGAAUGGCAACCUUAGUAUCAUUUUAGAAGCACCGAAAAAACCUUAUCAUGACUCACAGAUUACCGUUUUCUACUAUGGUAUUGUUGAUUAUCUCAUGCUGCCACUAUCCCAGUUCAGUCAGUAUAUGAGAUUAGAGUCUGAUGGGCACCUAAGGCUGUAUCAAUGGUCUGAUAAUGAAAAUAGGUGGACUACGUCUGAUGUAAUGGAGAUCUCUCGUAAUUGUGAUUUCCUAACACCGUGCGGGAGGGAGUACGAGAUCUCUGGUGAUUGUGCUUACCCAACAGUGUGCGGGGCGUACGGGAUAUGCACAAAUGCACAGUGCACAUGUCCUCCUGAGGGUACUACUAGUUCGAACUACUUCAAGCCAGUGGAUGACCGGAAAGCAAAUCUUGGUUGUACGCCACUGAGUCCGAUCUCUUGUCAGGACAUGCAACACCAUGAGCUCUUAAUGCUUACAGAUGUUUCCUAUUUUGAUCAGAGCCACGCCAUUGUGAAUUUAACAAACAGAAAUGAUUGUAAGCAAGCCUGUUUGAAGAACUGCUCCUGCAGGGCUGUUAUUUUCAGGUAUGGCCAGGAAGAUUCCAAUGAUGAAUGUUUCUGGGUAACAAAGGUUUUCUCAUUGCAAUCAAUAAAGCCUGAAGCUGCUCAUUACAACUCCACUGCUUAUCUCAAGGUGCAGCUUAGCCCUUCAAACUCCAGUUCUGCUCCUUCUCCAAACAAAAGGAAGGUCAUGUUAGCCAUUACACUUCCAACAACAAGUAUUCUUGUAUCACUUCUCAUUGUUGCCAUUCUUUAUCUGCAAAGGAAGAGGAAGUAUGAAGACAGCGAUGAAGACUCUGAAUUUGAUCAAUUAUCAUCAGGAAUGCCAACGAGGUUUUCUUUUGAGAAGUUGAGAGAAUGCACCGAAGGUUUCAGUAAAAUACUCGGGGGAGGUGGAUUUGGUUCUGUUUUUGAAGGGAAACUCGAUGAAGAGACAGUUGCAGUGAAACGUUUGGAAGGAGCUAGGCAAGGAAAGAAAGAAUUCUUGGCAGAGGUUGAAACUAUUGGCAGCAUUGAACACAUCAAUCUCAUAAAGUUUAUUGGUUUCUGUGCAGAGAAAUCUCAGAGGCUUCUGGUAUAUGAAUAUAUGUCAAGAGGGUCGCUUGAUAGGUGGAUCUAUAACCGCCGUAAUAAUGGCCGUCUAGACUGGUCCACCCAGUGCAAGAUUAUUCUAGAUAUUGCAAAGGGCCUAUGCUAUCUUCACGAAGGGUGCAGACGAAAAAUUGCUCAUUUGGACAUCAAACCAGAAAAUAUUCUCUUAGACGAGAACUUCAAUGCCAAAGUGGCUGAUUUUGGACUAUCCAAGUUAAUAGACAGGGACCAAAGCAAGGUAAUGACAAUGAUGAGAGGAACACCUGGGUAUCUGGCACCAGAAUGGUUAACAUCGCAUAUCACUGAAAAAGUCGAUGUGUACAGCUUUGGUGUUGUUAUCUUGGAAAUAAUAAGUGGAAGAAAAAGUAUUGACCGUUCUCGGCCUGAGGAGGAUGUUCAUAUUAUUUACUUAUUACGAGAAAAGGCUCAAAAUGAUCAGUGGAUUGAUCUGAUUGUCGAUAAUAAUAGUGAUGAUAUGGUCGCAGGCCAGGAGGAAGUGAUCCAAAUGAUGAAGCUUGCAAUGUGGUGCUUGCAGAAUGAUAGCAGCCAUAGGCCUUCCAUGUCAAUGGUGAUCAAGGUGUUGGAAGGUGCUAUAAGCGUUGAAAGUCACAUAAUUCAGAGCUUUCUCAAUGCAAACUCAGUCAUGUCUGUUCAAGAUAAUCAAUACCUAUACUCGGUUCGUGAAGCAUCUAUCUUAUCUGGCCCACGGUGA
rnacentral:rRNA from 1 species